rnacentral:rRNA from 1 species
UACGUAGGGGGCAAGCGUUAUCCGGAUUUACUGGGUGUAAAGGGGGCGCAAACGGCAGCGCAAGCCAGGAGUGAAAGCCCGGGGCCCAACCCCGGGACUGCUCUUGGAACUGCGCGGCUGGAGUGCAGGAGGGGCAGGCGGAAUUCCUGGUGUAGCGGUGAAAUGCGUAGAUAUCAGGAGGAACACCGGUGGCGAAGGCGGCCUGCUGGACUGCGACUGACGUUGAGGCCCGAAAGCGUGGGGAGCAAACAGG